CUGUUCUCCCUGGAAAACUGGAGUCAGUGCCUGGGGCACUGCCAUCAUGCCAGCAUCAUGCCUGAUGAUCACACCAGACUAUGAGGCUUAAACCCCAUAGUACAAUUUCCUUUGUUUCCCCCUCCUUCUCUAUAAUUUUUUUUGUUGUUGUUAUGGGCAGUGACAGUUUCUGGUUUCUUUCGUUUAUCAACGGUUUCUUUUACCACAGCCUCUAUUCCUCCUGCUGGAAGCCUGGCAUGAUUGGAUGCUGGGAGAAAAACCACAACUGAAUAGCCUGGCACUUACUAUAACAGUCAUUUCCAACCACAGAUUAAUACUGUUAGUGGAUUUGACUAACGGCUCUUAAUCAGCCCAACUGUCAUCCCUUGAGAAUGUGCUCACCAGUGAAAGACAAAAGAAAAUAUAAGCACCUCCAAAGCAUGGUAUAGUUCUGCUGAUGGCUCAUCUUCUGCAUCCAAAGAAUUAAGAGCGGAUCAAAUGACACAGAAAGAGAGGCUCCCUGUGCAUGUAUUCCUUUAUGAAGUGUGCUCGUGAAGAGAAGGAGGAAUACUGAGGGGAGAGAAAGAGGAAGGAAGAUCUUUUCCAAGAUGAAGUGCCAAGAGCUGGCGGUAAGGGAUCCAGAAGGGCAGUAUGGAUGAGAUGCGAGCCUAGCAGCAGAGCAGGAUCAAGAGCACAACCUCGGAAGGAGGAAGAAUGUAUGCUUUUCAGAAACAGAAGGAAAACAGAAGAAAAACAACACUAGAUCAGAGCUCACAAGACUUCCUUUGGAUUCAUACCACUGCUACUUUUUAGCUGCCUGAUGUUACACAAAUCACCGAGUCCACUGCAGUUUCCUCUCAUUGUAAAAAUUUAAAAAGGACCUAAAAGGUAAAAAAUGGAAAAUAGAUGACGGCAACAACUCCACCUCAAUUCUCAGGUCAAUAUUAUUGGAAAAUCAGAAGAUUCCAGAGGCUGAUGGAAUGUGACCCUGGAGUCUCCAGAACCUGGAGGACAAGUCAAACUUAUCAUGACACUUGGGGAAUCAAAAUAAAACCCCUUCCAUGCUGCUCUUUUCAGGGAACAAACAAAAACUGGGAAGAGCUUCAGUGAGAAUGUGUAACACAAAUAUUCAUACCACAUGAGAAAAGAAGUCAUCCAGAGGAAAAGAUCCAGAAAACAGAAGAACCCAUUUAGUGCAGAGUGAAUCAAACAGAUGAAACAAACACAACUGCAAUCACUUCAGCCAGGCUGAGGCCUGAAGAAGAUGUAUGAUGUUAAGACUUUAGAUUUAUGCAUGUACAGGGGAUUAAGUGCUUCCUGUUUUGGGCAGGGUAGAGAGGCAGAUACUCUAUGGAUACUUGAAAUUGAGGGCUUUUCCUUUAUUGUUAGGUAAAAAACUGAAUACAUAACUCUACUACAUAAACAUCUUGUAUUAUUCA